AAAGGCAACAUACUGCAAUGACAAAGUAAAGUCCAAAUGAACAUGAACACCCAUGUACAUGGAGUCUCUCUGGUAGUAUUACACAAUCCGUCCAGGUCAAAGAUCAAGAGAAAAGCAGCAGCCUGGUUUUUAGUGAGUGUAAGAAGAUACAGUGGUCUUAUAUAUAAGAGAAAGAGAAUUUCACACAUAGCAGAAGUCCAAGCUGGACUGAUAUAUUAUAGCCUCACUAGAAGAGGGAGCUACUCUGAGGAAACAAUAUUAGACUGUGAAAACAUAGUCGGGUCAUUCAUAUUCAAAGUUUAUACCAAAUGCUAUUUUUUGUUUGUUUUUUUUCCUCAUUUAUUGUUUUUCUGUAGUAGAAGAAGACCACUGAAAAGAUAAGAACUGAUAAUUCUCAUAAUAAAAUUAAAUAUUUUGUUGAGUUAACCUGCAUUCAGUGGCCUUUAUCAGACAAAGGAGAGAGAGGGUGAAUCAGUCAUCUGUGGACAAAACUGGGGAAAAAAUAUUGUUCCGAUAUAUAUGCAUGUACUUUGUGUUAAAUCAACUUUGGCAAAUUUUGCACAGUGCAGGUCACAUCACUGACACACAUUAACUUGAACCAACCAAUAUGGUCUCUCUGUUACAAUGAUUGUCAUUGUAAAGGUGGAAAAACAUCACGACGGUUUGGAAAACUCAGUUUUGUUUGAUCAAGAAUAUGUGGAUGGCCAGUAAUGCAUAUUUUCAGGCUAUGCACCUUAAAAUCGAUUAAUUCCAAUAACCCAGUCUGUUCAUGGUAUUCCAAUAACAAGUUUGGGAGUUGAGUUUAGUCAUAGACUGAAACAAAUAAUUUAAGACGGCCUUGAUUGGUAAUCUUGGAAUGAUAUUCGGAGAUUCCUGUUGGUAAAUAACUGGAUCUAUUAAAGGAAGACAAAGGUGAACAUUAAAUACCAACAUAGAGAGCUUAGACAAAUUCUGCAUCAGGUCUACAUUGAUACAAUUCUUGGAUAAAAUUUGAGAAGUCAGUUUCUCAUCUUACUGAAAGCAUUGGUAAAAUAUUCCAGAUUUUUCCAAAAUUUUUCUGAAAGCAGUAUUGCUGAAUUUACAUUCAAUUUGAUCAAAGCUAACUGAAUCAGUUCCGCUUUUUUCUCAUCCACAUUUUAUUAGAUGCCAUUUGGAGGAUUCCCUUUCACAAUAAUUGUAAACCAUAGUCUCAAAUAGCUGCAUUUACAUGUGAUGCACUAUUUAUACUCCAUGGCACAUUGUCAAAUGGUGUAUUUGUGUGAGUGCAGUACCAUCUCCACCCAGCUGGCACGUGGCUCACAGAAAAUCAAGCACACCUGUCUCUCACUCAGGCCUUCAAGAGCCUAUAAGGCAACUCAGCACACCUGUGUUGAAAUAAUCUCUACAAACAAAGACCUCAUCUUUAAGCUCCUGCAGAAACACCACUGGUUUUCAACCUGCUUGGGUGUCAUGUAUUGGAAAGUACAGUGAUUUAAAGAAAAAAGA